UGUCUCCAAACAAGGACAGACAAACAUCACAGCUGAACCUGGACAUGACGUCUCUCUGCCAUGUAGAGCUGGACAUGAUGGAGACAUCGAUGCUGUGAGGUGGAUCAGACCUGAUCUG